GGCGGGAUAGCCUAGCGGUUAGGGUUUUUGACUCUAGCCGAAAGGUUCUGGGUUCAAACCCCAAUGUCCCUCGGUCUA